rnacentral:rRNA from 1 species
UAUUGGACAAUGGGGGAAACCCUGAUCCAGCGACGCCGCGUGAGUGAAGAAGUAUUUCGGUAUGUAAAGCUCUGUCAGCAGGGAAGAAAGAAAUGACGGUACCUGACCAAGAAGCCCCGGCUAACUACGUGCCAGCAGCCGCGGUAAUACGUAGGGGGCAAGCGUUAUCCGGAUUUACUGGGUGUAAAGGGAGCGUAGGCGGUUCAGCAAGUCAGAAGUGAAAGCCCGGGGCUCAACUCCGGGACUGCUUUUGAAACUGUUGAACUAGAUUGCAGGAGAGGUAAGUGGAAUUCCUAGUGUAGCGGUGAAAUGCGUAGAUAUUAGGAGGAACACCAGUGGCGAAGGCGGCUUACUGGACUGUAAAUGACGCUGAGGCUCGAAAGCGUGGGGAGCAAACAGG